AUGGCGUCGACGGCCGUGGCGGACGCGAACGGCGGGGGAUUCGGGGUCGGGGCCGCCGGAGUGGGGCAGGUCCUCGACGGCUCCAACCCGGCCAUCGUCCGGCUCCGGCAGCUCGUCGACGGGCCCCAGUCCUCAGAGGGGUGGAGGCGGUGCUGGGAGCAGGGCGUGACGCCGUGGGACCUGGGCCAGCCCACGCCGGCCGUCGUCAAGCUGGUGCAGUCCGGCACCCUCCCCGCCGGCGGCGCCACCGUGCUCGUCCCGGGAUGCGGCGGGGGGUACGACGCGGUGGCCCUGUCCGGCGGCGGGCGCUCCGUGGUGGGCCUCGACGUCUGCGACGCCGUCAUCCAGAGGGCCAGGCAGCGGUCGUCCGCGUCGGACGUGGCCUUCGUCAGCGCCGACUUCUUCACCUGGGCGGCGCCGGAGCCCUUCCAUCUCAUCUUGGACUACACAUUCUUCUGCGCCCUUGACCCGUCGGUGAGGCCGGCGUGGGCGGCGAGGAUGGAGGAGCUGCUGCGGCCGGACGGAGAGCUCAUCACCCUCAUGUACCUGCCCCAAGACCAGGACUCGGGGCCACCGUACAACACCACAGUGCUCGACUACGAGGAGGUGCUCAACCCCCUGGGCUUCGUCAUCGAGUCGAUCGAAGACAACGAUGUUGCAGUCGAGCCACGCAAGGGGCUGGAGAAGAUCGCAAGGUGGAAGAAGACGGCAGCUGGAGCCGAAACGUCCACAACAGACAAGCCCUCUGAUAAUCUAUAG
rnacentral:rRNA from 1 species